rnacentral:rRNA from 1 species
GACGAACGCUGGCGGCGUGCUUAACACAUGCAAGUCGAGCGGUAAGGCUCCUUCGGGAGUACACGAGCGGCGAACGGGUGAGUAACACGUGAGCACUCUGCCCUUCACACGGGGAUAACUUCGGGAAACCGAAGCUAAUACCCGAUACGACCACCUCAGGCAUCUGAUGGUGGUGGAAAGCUCCGGCGGUGAAGGAUGAGCUCGCGGCCUAUCAGCUUGUUGGUGGGGUGAUGGCCUACCAAGGCGACGACGGGUAGCCGGCCUGAGAGGGUGACCGGCCACACUGGGACUGAGACACGGCCCAGACUCCUACGGGAGGCAGCAGUGGGGAAUAUUGCGCAAUGGGCGAAAGCCUGACGCAGCGACGCCGCGUGAGGGAUGACGGCCUUCGGGUUGUAAACCUCUUUCAGCAGGGACGAAGCGCAAGUGACGGUACCUGCAGAAGAAGCACCGGCCAACUACGUGCCAGCAGCCGCCGUAACAC